rnacentral:lncRNA from 1 species
GCCUGCAAUGCAGGAGACCUGAGUAUAAUCCCUGGGUUGGGAAGACCUGGAGAAGGGAAAGGCUACCCAAUCCAGUAUUCUGACCUGGAGAAUUCUAUGGACUGUAUAGUCCAUGGGGUGGCAGAGUCAGACAUGACUGAGCGACUUUCACUUUCAUAAGAUGAAAAGGAUAUAAACAUUAAUAUUAGAUCACUGCUGAGCUCACAUAUUUCCCCAGGUCAGGUUAUCCAAAGAACAUAACAAUCUAGUUUUAUCUGUAAGUAACUAUCAAAAGUACCUGUAGCCAGGGAGCUCAACAAGGUGCUCUAUGACAACCUAGAGGGGUGGGAUGUUGUGGGGGGGUGGAAGGGAGGUUCAAGAGGGAGGGGACAUAUGUAUACUUAUGGCUGAUUCAUGUUGUUGUGCGGCAGAAACCAACACCACAUUGUAAAGCAAUUGCCCUCCAAUUAAAAGAAAAAUUUUUUUUUUUUUAAGAAAAUUUUUAAGUUAGUUGUAACAUCCAGCAAAAUCCAUUAUCCACAAUAUGUCUUUUUACUUUGCUACAGCAGAACCAGCCUUUAGCCCUUCAACUCAACCAAUAUCUACCAGCCCCUGUCAUGUGGCAGGUGAAUCCAAGAACUUUGAGAAUCUCCAAGCAGUCAUAUACCAUCUAUCAUAUAUUUCCCCCAUAAAAUGCAUGCAUAAUGCCUUUAGGUUGAAGAAGUGAAAAGGAGACUGCAGGAAGAAACAAUUAAGAUUGCACACACACACACACAUUAAACCAAAAACAAACAAACAGUGGUCUCCAUUGUUUGACCUGAUGCCAGAAAUACUAGGCAUGGAAAGAACAAGAAGCAGUUACCAAGAAGAAUCCACAAAGCAAAGCUCUAAAGGGCAACUGACCAAGUGAAGCCUAAAUAGUUUUUCAGAAACUUCAGCUGA